AUUGAACGCUGGCGGAAUGCUUUACACAUGCAAGUCGAACGAUGAAGUCUAGCUUGCUAGACGGAUUAGUGGCGAACGGGUGAGUAAUAUAUCGGAACGUAUCCAUUAAUGGGGGAUAACUAGUCGAAAGAUUGGCUAAUACCGCAUACGUCCUACGGGAGAAAGCUAGGGACCUUCGGGCCUGGCGUUAAUGGAGCGGCCGAUAUCUGAUUAGCUAGUUGGUGAGGUAAAGGCUCACCAAGGCGACGAUCAGGAGCUGGUCUGAGAGGACGACCAGCCACACUGGAACUGAGACACGGUCCAGACUCCUACGGGAGGCAGCAGUGGGGAAUUUUGGACAAUGGGCGCAAGCCUGAUCCAGCCAUUCCGCGUGAGUGAAGAAGGCCUUCGGGUUGUAAAGCUCUUUCGCAAGGGAAGAAAACUUACCCUCUAACAUAGGGUGAGGAUGACGGUACCUUGAUAAGAAGCACCGGCUAACUACGUGCCAGCCGCCGCUUAAUAC
rnacentral:rRNA from 1 species